ACUUGGGCUCGCGUCCUCGGCCGCGCCGCGCGGCACCCGGGCCCAGCAGCCGGGAGGCGGCAGCUCUCCUCUACGCCCGUCCCCUCAGGGCGGCUGUGGAUGUUGCCAGUAUUGUCGAUGCUUCAGAGCGACGUUUGCCCUGCGACACAGGCGGGCCGGCUCUCCUCUGUCUUUAUUUUCCUGGAGGCCGACAGGAGCGGGGCCCGAGUUCGGUGGUGGUCGUGAGCGUGGGGGGCACUCAGGCCCGGACGGGCUCUCAGGUCGCCGACGGCGGCGGCUGGAGGCCGCGCUGGCUGUCCCAGGUCGUCGUUAGCUUUAGGGAGCCGAUCUCCGGGCGGCCCCACAGAGGACGCCCGCGAUUCGAUGGCGAUGAUGCCCGUUUUAAAUGGUGUCCCUGCAGCCGGGUGGAUGGAUGGAUCGUACACCUUGCCUUUUGAGAGCCGGGACCUUACGCCCGACUGCGUGUUAUUUCUGCGAAUAAGAACGCAACCUUUGGAGGUGAAGACGACUGUCGGCUGGAUUGAAUUGGAAUCGUGUUUGUGAUGAUGCGUUUAUUUCUGGAAAUACGCGGUCUCCGCUGCUUUUGCUUUUUGUCGGCAGAGGUUUGGGUUCUUCUCUAACGGUCAGGAUAAAGGCCUGUAGGCGACGCUGCGCGAGCGAGAAGCUCGCCCGCGGCUGCCCGGGCGCCCCCCUCUAGGUGUGGGUGGAGCCGAGCGCGCGGGGAGAACCGCCGGCCCCGACUCAGCCACCGGUGACUGCGGGCGACCCGCGGGCCUGCGGCCAGCUGAUUUCAAACAUCGUUUUCCUCUUUAGGUUCGGAAAACUGAGGCGCUGGACAAGGCUGGAAUACAAUAUGUGAUUAUACGUACAGUACUAUGGUUGUUGUAGUUUUUAAAUUGUAAAACAAGAAGUAACCAUUGUUCCACCGUUCUCUAUUAAGUUUGUGUAAAUUAAAAAGGGGCUAUUUUCGGUAAAAAGUGCAGUAGGCCCUGCGAAUGGCUUCCCGUCUUGAGGGGAGUGAGCCAAAGCCUUGACUGCGGCAGAAGUCCCCGCGCGCCGUUGAGGGUGGGGGCGGGCCUGCCCUGGCAUCCUUGCGAGUAGGACUCUUCCCUGAGCGUCGUCCACAGGGCUUGCUCCUUCACCUUCAGGAUUUUGCUCGUGUCACUCGGUGCUUCCGCGGCUACUUUUAAACUGAAAGUUCCCUAGCCCCCUUCUCAUUUUAUCCUUUGGACAGUCUACAUAUCCAUACUUGUUUAUCUUCUUAUCUCUCCUUCCCCAGUGCAAUGUAAGCUCUAAGAGGACAAGAGGUUGUGUUUUUCUGCACUGGUGUUACGGCCCCCGCCUAGAAUGCCACACAGUAGAUGCGUAGUAUGUGGUUAAGGAAUGAAUGCGAUUAUAAGGGCCUUGAUGCUCC
rnacentral:lncRNA from 1 species